rnacentral:rRNA from 1 species
AUUGAACGCUGGCGGCAGGCUUAACACAUGCAAGUCGAGCGGGGUGAUGGUGCUUGCACUAUCACUUAGCGGCGGACGGGUGAGUAAUGCUUAGGAAUCUGCCUAUUAGUGGGGGACAACAUCUCGAAAGGGAUGCUAAUACCGCAUACGUCCUACGGGAGAAAGCAGGGGAUCACUUGUGACCUUGCGCUAAUAGACGAGCCUAAGUCGGAUUAGCUAGUUGGUGGGGUAAAGGCCUACCAAGGCGACGAUCUGUAGCGGGUCUGAGAGGAUGAUCCGCCACACUGGGACUGAGACACGGCCCAGACUCCUACGGGAGGCAGCAGUGGGGAGUAUUGGACAAUGGGGGGAACCCUGAUCCAGCCAUGCCGCGUGUGUGAAGAAGGCCUUAUGGUUGUAAAGCACUUUAAGCGAGGAGGAGGCUCUUUUGGUUAAUAUCCAAGAUGAGUGGACGUUACUCGCAGAAUAAGCACCGGCUAACUCUGUGCCAGCCGCCGCAGUAA